UAGCAAUUUUAUAAACAAGUAAUAGAUAUUUUAAUUCUUUUAUAGUAAGGAUUCGAAAGCAUAAAAGCCUUUGUCAAUUCUUUCAGCGUACUCAAGAGGCAAGAAUAAUUAUUUUAGUCUGCCCUUGCCCUUGAAAAACGAAAGACAAAGAAGAAUAGAGGAAAUAAAAGUAUUUUUAUUUAUACAGUGAUGAAUUUCCGUUCGUUAAAAUAUACUCAAAUCUGGAAGACAAAUCAAACUUGUGUCUAUGCUUGUGUAUGAAAUUUCAAGACGAAAUUCGAGAUGUGAUUGCAACAUAAUCGAAUCUAUGUCUAAUUCUAACGACGAGCAACGCAGACGUGCUGGGUACGUCGAACCAUUCACAAAACAGAGUGAAAUGGGACGAGCUGAUGGCAGAGCUCCAUGCGGGAUAGUGACUUGUUAGCCAUGAACGAAUUGUGAGUCAUCAUCGUUGUGUAAGCAGUAAAAGUUAUCAACGCCACAUGCGGAUCUGCAAGAUAAAGAUGAAUAACGAAAUAAAUGGUUUGAAUCCAGAAGUGGAAUUGUAUGUUUGUAAAAGUUGUUCCUCCACGUUAGAGCAAUCCUAAAAAGACUAUUGGGUUUUCAUUGACUGACAUUACAAAACCCACAACAGCAAUCAUCCUAUGUGAAGAGUGAACAUCAGAUACGUUAUUUUGAACAUUACCGGUAAGAAUGCAAAAAAUAAAUCAGUUAACAAUAAUACAAACAGUCCUUUUCAGGGAUGGAAAUGUUUACGAUUAGCAGGCUAGCAUGAUCAACGCCAAGGAUGAAAAUAUUUAUGGCUGCUGGAUGGGAUGAUGAAGGGCUGGGAUGGGAAAAUGUCUUCAAUGUAAGUGUGAUGAGCCAAAAAGCCUUGGGAUACGAGGGGCUGUAGCGGAAGGCACCGAGCAGAGCUAUUGGUCUACCGGGAGGAGAAUGCUGAAAUCUGGCAUUAGAAAGUCUUUUCAACUGAGCGCUAAUCGUGAAAUAACAUGCAGGCACUUUUUCUGACAAUUUUUUUUAAUUAACGAAGAAUUUGAUCUGGACACAGACUUACUCUUCGACAUUUAAUUCUUAUUCUUCAUUCAUACUAACACUUAUUGAACACACCUUAUAAGGACGCAAGCAUGAAUACAGCAUGAUUCUCGGAUUUCUUUUACUGCAUAAGAUCAUAUCUGCAAAAUAAAGAUAAACAAUGAAGUGAAUGGUUUGAACCCAGGAGUGGCAUUAAAUUUUUAUACAUAAUAAUUAUCCAAGUCAGAGCAGUCCUAAAACACUUUUUGGGUUUUCCUUGACUGACAAUCCAAAAUCGAUAUCGGCAAUCAUUUCAUGUAGAGUAACAUCAGAUUCCACAUGUUAGACCUUAUACUGGUAAGAGAUCAAGGCCAAGAUUGGAAAUAUCUAUUUGCAGCAGAUUUGGCUGACGUAAGAACUGCAAUGAAAAUUUUAUGAUCAAUAGGUCAAGUAUGGAACAGUUACAGCAAUUAAGAAUAAAAGUAAGGAAUACAUGUGAUGCUUUCGCUUCAUGGUAACCGCGAGACAAUAUUUAAAACUUGCUCAAUUUGUUCAAGCAAUCGAUCUCGUCAAUUAAAAACAACUAGAUGAUAAGAGAAAUACAUCAAGUGAAGAUGUAUUUCCUAGAUUUACA